rnacentral:lncRNA from 1 species
AAAUCCCUCUCUGCCCCUUGGUACAGGUGGCAGCAUGAGCUCCCAGGACAUCUGCAGCUCCCCAGGUACUCGUGAGUCCUUCCCUCCCAGACCCAGGGCACUUGGAAGCCCAACCACUGUGAGCUGUGCCCUAUGGCAGCCCUUCACUGCUGUGUCUCCUCCAGGGGAUCUCCGAGCUCCUGCUCUCCAAAUGAACUCAACUUCUGCUCUGCCAGGUACAAGAGUUGUGCUCCAGUGUAUUCUCCCUGUGGUGUCACCCGUAAUACGAAUCAUCUUCUGCAAGGAUGGCAAGCAGCUGUACAGCGAGAAAGCCCAUCAAGGGCAGCUGAACUACUCCGUGGUCCUGAACAUCACGUCAAGAAGCGCAGGAAGAUAUACCUGUGGGUACCAGGAGUGGAAUGAGAUGAAACACAUGAGGAGCUCUGCCCUCAGUGCUGGCCGCAACCUGGAUGUCCCUGGCAAUGUGGUGAGUUCCCCAGCAAGUCCACCACCCCCAGAUCCACAUGCAUGGAUCCCGCACGCUCUCCCCACAAGCACGGUGCUGGCAGUGGCGGCCGUCGGCCUAGUCCUCCUGUCUACAGGCAGCUGGUUUGCCAUCAGGAAAGGUGCGUGCAGAGGGAGAUGCCCAAGGCAGCAGCACGUUGACAGCCCACAGACGGAAGACACCAACUAUGGUGACAUCCAGUACUCCACCAUCGCCCAUGUUCGACGGGACAGGCCUCGUCCUGUGCAGCACAUGAGCGACACCACGACGUAUGCCACGGUGAUCUGCACCCAGACCUGAUAGAGCUGCCACAGGGCAAGGGCACAGGAGCCUUGUCCACAGCUGCCUUUGCUCUCCUGCAGAGUUCUUGUGCAGUCAUAUCAUGGGGCU